GUGACCAAAGGCUUCACUUGCAGAAGCCCCCUCCCCAGGAAACUCCCCUGGGGCAAAACGAAAGUGUUUUGGGCGUUUUUGUCUGCCUGGCAGGGAGCCUGUGCCUGAGUCACUGUUUCUCUUGAGCUUCCCUUUUCUUUUCUUUCCUCCCGGUGUCUGCUGAUUUUGUGUCAAACAAGGAGCAUGGGGCCAGGCCAUCUCUGAGCUGCCCGUGGGACGGGGACUUGGGCACUUGCCAGGAGCGGCUGGCCUAGGAGUGGGCGGGAGGCCCUUGGUCACCCACCCCAGGGCCUGGCUUCAGGUGGCCACAGCUUUCUGACCCCCUUCUGGGCACUGGGCCACCAGCUGCUGGGCAUGGCCAGUGCUUAGGCCGAAAAUCAGGAAUCUCUUGAAUGAAUGCAUGAAGGUGGAGCCCUUUCCCUUAAUGCGCAGGUGAAAAGGGCACCUCGGUGGAUUCUACUAAAUUUAAUAGAAGACCCAAGACGGGGUGGGGGAGACGUGCUUUGUGCUCACCUGGCUGGUUCAUGGGCAGGUGGCCUGGAGGACCCAGCCCUGGCAGCUGUGGGGUAGCUCCAGCCUGGGCCGGACAGCUUCUUUCAUCGCAGGCACCACUGCGGACAUUGCUGGGAGGAAGAGGAGGGAGAAGCGACGGGCUUCAUUAGGAACGGAAAUGCCAAGAUUAGUGAAAGAAUGAAAAGAGUCAAAACAGCCUAGAAAAGGCUUCAAUGAUCCUCAAACUGGAUGAUCGAAUCCCGAAUAAUUGGGAAUCAACAGUAAAGGCCAAAGCUUUCGAUGGAUUGGACGAGGCGCGUCCACCCUGGGGAGGGCCAUCAUUUUAUUCAGUCUACUGAUGCAAAUGCUUAUCUCUUCUGGAAACACCUUCACAGACAGACCCAGAAUAUAGUUGAACCAAAUACUGGGCACCUCAUGGCUCCAACAGGUUGACACAAAAAAUGAACCAUUGCAGAAAACGAAGAACAGUCACCAACUCCCACCCAUGCAGCUGGCUCAUUUGCUGGGCUGCCCUCCCCAGCAGGUGGCACAGGAAUCCCUGCCUUGGCAGGGAGGAGGCCUGGGGUGUGUGCAGGUACCCAUGGGAAGUUUCUUUGCCAUGGGGAAAGCCAGAGUCACCCCUUGCUUGAACACAAGAGUUGGAGGUUUCAGUGAGCUGAGAUUACGCUAUUGCACUCCAGCCUGGGCGGCAGAGUGAGACUCUGUCUCUAGAUAAAUAAAUUAAAUAAAUAAAUAAAUAUAAUUUAAUAUAAAUAACUAGAAAUUUUUCAAUACUUGCAUCUCUGUAGGUUACCUCUGGAAGUGCAGGGCUUUGUCUUUUUGGAUUAACUCAGAAAUUAGACCUUCAGAAAACAACAUCAGCUCUGAUUCUCUGCACCCUUGAUGCUGCCGGUGGCGACUGCGGCUUCCUGAUGGAAAUGUAGACCUGAACAUAAGUCGCAGAAAAAUGCAGACUUGAGUUGGAGCUAAGCUGACUCAGGUAUUUUGAGAUCUAUAAUCUGAGUGGGGAGCAGAGAGAUUCCAAGAUAUUUGCAUUCAGUGGCUUUUGCACACAGCAGAACCUGUGCUGAGGGCAUUUCUAGGGUCAUUACUCAUAAUCUGCAGUGUCUCUUUCCAGGGUUCCAGGCGUCUUACCCCAGAGGUGAUUUCCAGAUUUCGAGAAAAACCCAGGAUUUAGGGCUGGCACGGUGGCUCACGCCUGUAAUCCCAGCAUUUUGGGAGGCCGAGGCAGGUGGAUCACUUGAGGUCAGGAGUUUGAGACCAGCCUGGCCAACAUGAUGAAACCCUGUCUCUACUAAAAAUACAAAAAAAUUAGCCGGGUGUGGUGGCAUGCACCUGUAAUCCCAGCUACUCAGGAGGCUGAGGCAGGAGAAUCACUUGAACCUGGGAGGCAGAGGUUGCAGUGAGCCUAGAUCGUGCCAUUGCACUCCAGCCUGGGCAACAAGAGCAAAACUCCAUCUCAAAAAAACAAACAAACAAACAAACAAAACGCAAGAUUUAGAUCCCCUCACUGUAGCGCCCUCAUGGCCUGGUAACUUUAGCAAAGCCUCCCCCUCCUCCCCCUCCUCCUCCUCCUCCUCCUCCUCCCUCCUCCCUCUUCUAGGUACAGAGGAUGAGCAGUGGCUCCCCACACCAUCCCCUGAAGCAGAGGCCCCUCUUCCCUUCAUUCCCCAUUCUGUACAGAUGCUAUGGGAGCUUCAGGCUCCACACUCAGGUCCCCAGUCCCUGAAACAUAAAGCUGAAUAAGACAGAGUCCCUGGGCUGAAGGGGCCACUGUUGGCCAUGGAAGCAGAGUAAACAGAGUGGGGCCGACGUAAAGGUGAGCUGGGGUGCACUGGAGGCACAAAACGGGCAAGGAUGGAGACGUGGGUGACGAGGUAGGGCAGACAGGCAGAGCUCAGACUGGGUCCUAGGCAGGGAGAAGUCACCAUUGUAGAGCAAGGACGAUGUGGUCAGAUCUGGGCUUUAGAAAUCUAGGUGUCUAGCCUAGGCAAUAUAAUGAGACCUCGUCUCCACAAAAAACUUAAAAAAUUAGCCGAGUGUGAUGCCACAUGUCUGUAGCCGCAGCUACUCAGAAAGCUGAGGAUCCCAAGUGGAAGGAUAACUCUAGCUCGGGAGGUCGAGGCUGCAGUGAGCCAUGAUCGUGCCAUUGCACUCCAGCCUGGGCAACAGAGCGAGACCCUGUCUCAAGAAAAAAAAAAAAAAAGUAAAAGAAAAAGAAAGAAGAAAUACAGCUCUGGAGCUGCCUAGGACAGGGUUGGGGACUCUCCUGACUAGCUGCCAGCGAAUGUUUGCUUUCUGUGGCCAGGCCCUGCCUGGCCAGGGUGCACAGGGCUGAGCGAGGCAGAUGGAGCCCCUGCUCUCAGACUGCUUUUCCGAAUGCCAUCUUGACGCUGCUCAAGUUUGGAUUUUGGUUUUCAUGGAAGUCAACUAUGGUUCUGACAUGGCCACCUCUGUCUCAACUGAUGCACGGCCUAGGGAAUCCGGUGAUGCUUCAGCAGGUGGCAGGGCUCAGCUGCACCCGCCCGGGCCCCAGCGCCGCCUGCCACUCCUCCUCCUCCUCCCAGGCUUCGGCUGAGAGCAGGGCCUGGAGCCAGCCUGCUGGGUGGACUCCCAGCUCCACAGUUGGCUAGCUCUGGGGCCCUGGGGAGAUGUCCACCCUCUCUGUGCUUUAAUUUCUUCACCUGUGAGGUGGGGAUGGUAGCACCUCCCUCAUGGGGUGGCUAUGGCUGUGAAAUGAGGUAACGUCUCGGUGUUAGGCAGCUUCCAAAACGGCUCUCCAAGAUCCCCUGCCUCCUGGCCUUCAUAGCCUUGUGGAACCCCUGGCCCUGUGUGUGGGCUGGACUCACUGCCUGCUUCCACCCAAGAGAACAGGGCACAGCUGAUGGGGGUUACUUCUGAGACUAGGUGAUCAAGACUGGGGCUUGCUGGGUCCCUCUGUCUCUGACUCUUUCCUCUGCUCUCUCCUGCUCACUUGCUCACCCUAAUACUAUAUCAAG
rnacentral:lncRNA from 10 species